AGGGUGUAAACGCUGCAGACUUGGUGUUGGAGGCCCUUUGGGGGCAUUCAGUGCCGGAGAGAAGUUGUUAAGUCUGCUACUUGGGGAGUACGUCCGCAAGGAUGAAACUUAAAGGAAUUGGCGGGGGAGCACAACAACGGGUGGAGCCUGCGGUUUAAUUGGAUUCAACGCCGGAAAUCUUACCGGACCGACAGCAAUAUGAAGGCCAGGCUGAAGAACCUUGCCUGAAUCGCUAAGAGGAGGUGCAUGGCGUAGACGUCU
rnacentral:rRNA from 1 species